AUUCAUGACUUCUUAACUUGUGUAUUGGGUACACGAGUUAGUGGUCCCGAAAAAUCCACCUCUUCCUUCUCUGAUUAAUUCCUUCCUCAUCUUCAAUAUUUUCUUAUCUUCAUCUUUGCCCCAGCCUGCCACCAACUAUCAUCCAUUGUCUAUCGUUCUCCAUGCUGCCACUACUGUGUCGUCGUCAAUUGUAAGUAAUUUUUUUCCUCAAUAUAUGAUAUUGUGGCUUGACUACCCAUAGAUCUAGAAUUUUGUUUAGAUGUAUGCAUGAAAAACUAGAGAUUUGAUCUAGUUUUGUUUAAAAUAUGGGAGAACUAGUGUGUAAAGGUUGUUUUUCUAAGAUUUCGUAUUUUAUGACCGUUAGAUUGGAUUUGAAUUUUUUUUUUUUUGGAUUUUUUGAGUUUGGGCUUGAAAUUUUGGAUUGUCUUUCUUUAGUAUAUUAUUUUGGAUUGUAGCUUGGUAAUUAUUUUGAAUUGUUUGGACGGUAGUUUGUUUAAUUUUAUUUUUUAAAAAAGAAUUGGACCAAUCUUGAAUUUGAGUUUAGACUUGGGCGGUAGAUUUAUGGUUUUUUUUUUUAAAAAAAUUGGAUUGAUCUUGAAUUUUUGUUUAGAUUAUCUUUUGGAUUUUUGUUGAACUAGGUUGUUAGUAUCAACAUAUUAAGUUUGACUAAUAUUUUUGCCAACUACAACAAUUGUAAGAAUUUGAGUAAAUAUGUCGUUGCGUCCUAAAGAUUUAGUAAUUCUUGAACCUGAAAAUAUUGGGGACAGUGAUAUUGAUGUAGAACACUAUGAAUUAUUAUUUGGGAACGAUAGAAGUGCAAAACAUGAAAAUGAGUUAGUACUAUCAGAGAUGUUCACCCAAAUAGAUUGAGACGUUAUUAAUUCAAGGAUGGUUGUAAUUAGAGGUUACGAGUGUCGGCAUAAAAUUUUAGGGUUGAUACCCUAAAUCUCGUGGGUCUUAUAGUUUGUAAUUAUAAUGAAUAAACAUUUUAUUUAUUUAAUAAAAUAUGAGAUGUUUUAUUUGACAUUUAGUAGCUUUAACCCACAAACCAAUAAACUAACAUCCAAGGUUAUUUUCUGUAGCUUAAACAUGUAUGUAGAUCAUGUUUAAGUGAUAAUAUAAUGAUAGGUACCUUAUCUUGAUGACACUACGAAAACAACCCCUUUUUGUAGAUGUACAGUUGUUGUAAAGUGCUACAAAUUAUAUUAUAUUUGUAUUAUGUACAGUUGAUUUAUAUUAAAUAAUAUAUACGUAUGAGAGAAAUAAAAACUAUAGGUUAUAUUAUUAUUAUUAUUAUUAUUAUUAAAAAAUUAGAAUUUUAAUUUUGAAUUUUUUUUUGGGGGGUAUUGGACCCUUUUAGAUUUAUCGCUUUAAUUUUCCAGAUUCGUUUAUAAGGGUCUUUUGUUUUUUUUGGCAUUAUUUGCAAUAGUAUGUAAUUUGAAAGUAUUGAGUUGUUCGUGAGUUUUUCGGUGGAUUUAUGGGACGAAAAUAGAAGGAAUUAAUAACUGUACAGUAGCGUUGUAACGUUGUGCCCUAGUGUUGCAAUGCUAUGAACGACGAAUGAAAGAAUUUUCUGUAGCGUUGCAGUGCUAGGUCACAAUGUUGCAAUGCUCCGAGACAGAGUUUUUUUUUUGUUUGUGCGCGGUUCGUGGUUCUUUCGGCUCAUGGUUUAUCCGGUUCACUUGGUUUGGCUAGUUCGUGGCCGAUACGGGUGCUAGGCGGUCAGGUUCAUGUGAUUCAAGGUCCAGUUUGCUUGUUUUGAACCAAUUCGCUUGUUUGGUGAUUGGGAGAAAUCAUACUCAGAGCUUCUGUAUUGGUUAAGUGUUGAUGUGCAUUACAAUCCUGAAACACGAUUGAAUUGGUAUUUUUUUUCCGUCUGAUGUGCUAGGUAUGACUUUUUCUUGUCGAGUUUUAUGGUCCUUCAGUCCUGCAGGAAAAAGGUUCAAAUAUUGUAGGUUAUUAAUUCAGAUUGAUGGAUGUUAGCCAAAAAGUUUGAUGAACAAUUUGUAAGGGAGAAGGACACAACAAGCGUACUUGUCCACAAUGUACAUUAGACACUUCCUCUUCAGGCCAUUGAUGACUUUGUUAUGUAAUGGACUCUUUUAUGUAAUUGAAUUUGUUAUGUAAUGAAUUUUUUUAUGUAAUUAAAUUUUCAAUGUAA